rnacentral:lncRNA from 1 species
GGGAGCAGGCAGGCAACUGGAGCCGAGCCUCAAUUUCCUUAUGUAUUUUGCUUCAUUUCCAAGCGCCCCAUCCUUGGAAGAGGCAUAAGUGAAUUAAGUACUAGCACUUACAUUACUGGAUGCUGAGCUGAGGGCUUCCAGCACCUCCAGGUUGGCGCAUCAUUCUCUUUCCAUUCACAGAACUAGACUGAGAAGAAUCUCUUCCCUGAGGCCAAGAGAAGGGCUGUGACUGAGCUGAGCAUCACUACUGACACCCUUGAGAGUUCAAUGCCCAACUUCAAGAAAAACAUAGCUAGAGCAUUUUAUGUUUGGCUCACAUGGUCCCAAAGAAACACAAAGCACAACUGAGAAUGCCAACUUGCAGAUCUUGGGCAAGUCGUUUCACUCCUCUGGGUUUGUUUCUUUCAGAUUUUUUUUAAAGAUUAUUAAAGUACAGUUGAUUUACAGUGUUGUGCCAAUUUCUGCUGUAAAGAAUAGUGACCCAGUCAUACAUAUAUAUAUGCAUAUACUGUAGGAUAGUAGAGGAAAAGGGAUUUAUGAGAUAGAUUAAAGCAAAGGACCAGAGAUGUAGAAGGAAACUAGGAACAAAGGAAAGUUCCUUAAAAUUCUUCACUGGUCAAUGAAUUAAAGAGUAUACCUUCUCCACCUGGUUGAAGUUGGGACAUGCAUUUGAACAUAAUAAAAGAGGACUGGAAGACUAAAUAGUUUAGUUUCCAAAAAUAUGCAUUCUUUUUCGUAUACUAUCUUCCACUAUGCUCUAUCUCAAGAGAUUGGAUAUAGUUCCCUGUGCUAUACAAUAGGUCCUUAUUGCCUACCCAUUCUAAAUGUCAUAGUUUGCAUUUACUGACACCAAACUCCCAGUCCAUCCCACGCCUUCCCCUCCGCCCACCCUGGCAACCACAGGUCUGUUCUCCACGUCUGGAAGUCUAUUUUUGUUUUGUAGAUAAGUUCAAUUGUGCCAUAUUUUAGAUUACACACAUAAGUGAUAUCAUACGGUCUCUGUCUUUCUCUUUCUGACUUACUUCACUUAGUAUGAGAAUCUCUAGUUGCACCCAUGUUACCUGACCUUUAAGCCCUUGAUUCCCAUAAGAUCCUAACGUUGUAGGAGCCAGAAACUCUAUCAUGAGCAGAACAUCCAAAAUCCUUAGGUUUACCAUCUAUAUAUGAGACUUAAGUUUCUAUUUAUAGAAAGUCUCAUAAAUAGACACACCUCACUAAAUUGAAGGCAGAAGAAAGGCCAAUGCAGAGCCAGGUUGGGGCAGGGACGGGGGGCAAUGGUUGUGCCAGGGAGGAGGAUGGGGCUGGGCACAGAUAUCAU